rnacentral:rRNA from 1 species
GGUUAAGCGACUAAGCGUACACGGUGGAUGCCCUGGCAGUCAGAGGCGAUGAAGGACGUGCUAAUCUGCGAUAAGCGUCGGUAAGGUGAUAUGAACCGUUAUAACCGGCGAUUUCCGAAUGGGGAAACCCAGUGUGUUUCGACACACUAUCAUUAACUGAAUCCAUAGGUUAAUGAGGCGAACCGGGGGAACUGAAACAUCUAAGUACCCCGAGGAAAAGAAAUCAACCGAGAUUCCCCCAGUAGCGGCGAGCGAACGGGGAGGAGCCCAGAGCCUGAAUCAGUGUGUGUGUUAGUGGAAGCGUCUGGAAAGGCGCGCGAUACAGGGUGACAGCCCCGUACACAAAAAUGCACAUGCUGUGAGCUCGAUGAGUAGGGCGGGACACGUGGUAUCCUGUCUGAAUAUGGGGGGACCAUCCUCCAAGGCUAAAUACUCCUGACUGACCGAUAGUGAACCAGUACCGUGAGGGAAAGGCGAAAAGAACCCCGGCGAGGGGAGUGAAAAAGAACCUGAAACCGUGUACGUACAAGCAGUGGGAGCACGCUUAGGCGUGUGACUGCGUACCUUUUGUAUAAUGGGUCAGCGACUUAUAUUCUGUAGCAAGGUUAACCGAAUAGGGGAGCCGAAGGGAAACCGAGUCUUAACUGGGCGUUAAGUUGCAGGGUAUAGACCCGAAACCCGGUGAUCUAGCCAUGGGCAGGUUGAAGGUUGGGUAACACUAACUGGAGGACCGAACCGACUAAUGUUGAAAAAUUAGCGGAUGACUUGUGGCUGGGGGUGAAAGGCCAAUCAAACCGGGAGAUAGCUGGUUCUCCCCGAAAGCUAUUUAGGUAGCGCCUCGUGAAUUCAUCUCCGGGGGUAGAGCACUGUUUCGGC